CUGACAGCUCUGGAGCCCCCGGGGCAGCCGAGUGGGGCGACCCCAGCCCCGCCUCCCGCCCAGCUACCCAGUCUCAUCGCCUGAUAGAAAAUUAGGAGCCUGUCGGAGGUCACCGCUGUCUUUCUGAACGUGGAGCGGAUGUCCAUGCCCACGAAG